AUGGUCCUCAAACUUGACUUCGCCAAGGCGUUCGACUCUAUCAACUGGGCGAGCUUGCGCGCUGUGAUGGCGGCCAGGGGGUUCCCGUCGCUCUGGUGCGACUGGAUGGAUGCCCUCUUCCACUCCUCGAGCUCGGCGGUCUUGUUGAACGGGGUGCCAGGGCGAUGGUUCCGAGUGCGCUGCGGCCUCAGGCAGGGGACCCCAUCUCCCCCUACCUCUUCCUCAUCGUCGCCGACGUGCUCCAACGGCUGA
rnacentral:rRNA from 1 species